GACGAACGCUGGCGGCGUGCUUAACACAUGCAAGUCGAACGGUAAGGCCCUGCUUUUGUUGUGUUCUCGAGUGUCGAACGGGUGAGUAACACGUGUGUAACCUGCCCUUGACUUUGGGAUAACUUCAGUAAACUGGGUCUCAUACCGGAUAUGAGCUUCUUCUGCAUGGUGGGGUUUGUAAAGUUUCGGCGGUUGGGGAUGGACUCGCGGCUUAUCGUCUUGUUGGUGGGGUAGUGGCUUACCAAGGCUUUGACGGGUAGCCGGACUGAGAGGGUGACCGGCCACAUUGGGACUGAGAAACGGCCCAGACUCAUACGGGAGGCAGGAGGGGGGAAUAUUGCAAAAUGGGCGGAAGCAUGAUGCAGGAACGCCGCGUGCGGGAUGACGGCCGUCGGGUUGUAAACCGCUUGCGCCUGUGACGAAGCGUGAGUGACGGUAAUGGGUAAAGAAGCAACGGCUAACUACGUG
rnacentral:rRNA from 1 species